rnacentral:rRNA from 1 species
AUGAGCAGCGUGGUGAUCAAUAAGUACCCGUUGGUGGUCGUCCAGCCAUCCGAGCCGGUCACUGCGACCGGCAGCGAGAUCGCCCUCUCCACCUACGACAAAGUAGUCCCUAUGGUGGAGACGGUGUUCUGUGUGUACGAGCAUCCCAUCCAGGAGCCUGCCGAGAUCAUAAGAAGAGGGCUCUCGCAAGCACUAGUCCACUACUACCCUAUCGCUGGCCGCCUUGCCACCGGAGCCACCUCCGGCGACGUCGUCAUCAAAUGCACUGGCGAGGGCGUGUCGUUCGUUGCAGCGUCUGCGAACUGCGCCAUCAAGGACGUGGCGGACCUGUGUGACUCAUCGCUGCAAGAAGAGCUCGCGCUCUACUACCCGGCAGUUGGUUUCAGCCACUCGGAGCCUUUGAUGCUGAUGCAGGUGACGGUCUUCUCUUGCGGCGGGUGUAUCGUGGGGCUAACAUGGAACCACCAACUCUGCGAUGGCAUUGGGCUCGCUCAGUUUUUCCGGGCGGUCGGCGAGCUUGCCCGCGGGCUGCCAUCGCCGUCCGUCGUCCCGGUCAGAUCGGCCGACUCGCUCAUGUUCGAUCUGCCUGCAUCCGUCGCAAACUGUGCGCGGAUUGCGGCUACCCUCCAACCAUUCCCGAGGGCGUCCCAGAACAUCACUCGACCAUCUAGCUUAAUCGAUGGCAUCAGACGCAGGUACUCCAUGAGUAGCAAUGAUGGGCCAUGCACGGUGUUCGAGGCAGUGGCCGCGGUGCUAUGGCGGUGCCGGACCCGUGCAAUCCGGUCCGACCCGGACAGCCUCGUCAUGCUCUCUUUCACGGCUGAUGCACGCAAGUAUGCGUCGGCCAAGAAGGGCUAUUACGGCAACUGUGUCACCAUACACCUGGUUGCGGCGACCAGUGGCAUGGUGACAAACGGAGUCGUCGUAGACCUGGUGAAAAUGAUCCACCGUGCCAAGGUUCCGAUGCCCGACCAGUCCAUCAUGGAUGAGUUGCAGCGCCAGCAUGGAUACAAUCUUCCGCAAGGACGACAGCAUCUCCAACAGUCGCCCCAAACGACGCGCGCGCGCGGUAAACGCAGCUUUUAG